rnacentral:misc_RNA from 1 species
GUGAAUCAUCGAAUUUUUGAACGCAAAUUGCACUCUCUUCGGAGAGUAUGCCUGUUUGAGGGUCAGCCUAAAAAAAAUCGACAUCGUUGCUGUUUCGCGGUGGCGUUCGUCGGAAAUUGGGUUAUCUUAAAUCUUUGGUUUAAGCGACUUAAAAUUUUCUUUACGAUUCCAUGGAAGUUUCCAAGAUUUAUUUCUUUACAAGGUUUAGGGAUUGAUUUUAUUCUGCGUGUUAGUAAUAUCUGAGC